rnacentral:rRNA from 1 species
AUUGAACGCUGGCGGCAUGCCUUACACAUGCAAGUCGAACGGCAGCACGGGGCAACCUGGUGGCGAGUGGCGAACGGGUGAGUAAUGCAUCGGAACGUGCCAUUGAGUGGGGGAUAACGUAGCGAAAGUUGCGCUAAUACCGCAUAUUCUGUGAGCAGGAAAGCAGGGGACCGCAAGGCCUUGCGCUCUUUGAGCGGCCGAUGUCAGAUUAGCUAGUUGGUGAGGUAACGGCUUACCAAGGCGACGAUCUGUAGCGGGUCUGAGAGGAUGAUCCGCCACACUGGAACUGAGACACGGUCCAGACUCCUACGGGAGGCAGCAGUGGGGAAUUUUGGACAAUGGGCGCAAGCCUGAUCCAGCCAUGCCGCGUGAGUGAAGAAGGCCUCGGUGUAAGACGUCUUUCGGUCCGGGUAACGGAAAGUACGG